CCCGCCCGUCAAGUCACGAAAGUCGGUAAUGCCUGAAACCAGCUCCUACAAGGGAAACUUUCGCAAGAAGGUGAAGGCUGACAAGGGUAAGAUUGGCAAUUGGGGCU
rnacentral:rRNA from 1 species